rnacentral:lncRNA from 1 species
AUGUUCGCGCCCUCGUGGAUCUCCGCCACCGAGAGCCUCUACCUCUGGUGCGGCGGCUGGCGCCCCACUUCCGCGAUCCAGCUGCUCUACUCCAAGUCCGGCCUGCAGCUCGAGGCCCAGCUCCCGGCCUUCCUCGACGGCGGCAGCCUCGGGGACGGUGACCUGGGCGGCCUCUCCGCGGAGCAGCUCCAGGCCGCCGACCAGCUGCAGCGCCGCACCAUCCGGAGGGAACGGGAGAUCGAGGAGGCCGCCGCCGGCGCGCAGGUGAACUGUUUACCAACCCCAGCUUCCUCUCCUUUUUUGGAUCCGUUAACUAAUGUGAACGUAUAGGAGUCGUUGGCGACGACGAAGAUGGUGGAGCUCGCCGGAAAGGGAGGGAUGGACGCGGCGGAGGGGAUGGAGCUGGAGAUGGAUGCCAAGGCGGAGGCGAUGAAGCGCGUGCUGGAGAUGGCGGACGGGCUGAGGCUGGAGACGCUGCGCGGCGUGGUGGGGCUGCUCCGGCCUGCCCAGGCCGUGCACUUCCUCGUGGCCGCCGCGGAGCUCCACCUCGCCGUGCACAAGUUCGGCCGGCGCAAGGACGGCGCCGCGGCGGCGGAGUGAGCCUGCAGGCUGCUGGUGGCGCGCGCAAGUGGUUGCUCUGCUCCGCGCAACGCUCGUCGUCUAGCUAGCUCCGAGCUGCCUUCGUUUUGCCUGGUCAACGCGAGGUGUCGCGAUAAGCUUUGACCGUGAUCCCCUUCUGUUUGGUCAGCAUGUGCGUUCUGCCAUUGUGUGAAACCUGUGGUAACUUGUACGAAGUGGGCUAGCUACUUGUGUAUGUAUAAUGCACAAGCUCAUGCCAUGGUGGUUUAGCUACUUGUAUGUAUGUGUAAUGCAUUAUUAUGGAAAAUGGAGGCGUAAAGGGGUGGCCAAAUUCACUGUUUUGACCAUAUUUCAUUAGUUU